GGGAGCUGUCCCAUCCAUCCUCCUCUCCGCCGCCACUAGCUCCACCUGGUCACCCCCUUCCUCGGGAUCCCCGAUCCAAUCCAUCCACCCCACCCGGCCGAACCAACCAGCCACUCCUCUCGAUCCACCAACCACAGCGCCUUGUGCCUCCUCCUCCCUUGGGCCUGGACGCGUCCGGCCGCCCGCAGCCGUCGUCGUCCGCGCCUACAGGAGCUAGCAGCUGCAGCCCCAAGCCUCUGCUUCUUUCCCGCCGAGCCGCCCCAACCUGCUGGAGUCAUCGUCGCCGGCAGAAAGCUAGCAGCGUCCGGAUCCAGGCCCGUGCGACUCCCUGCAUCUCUCUUUAUCCGUGCCUUCUUCUUCCUCCCCUGCUUUAAUCCCCCUUGUUCGUUUGCUUCUCUGCUAGGCAACGAGCGGAGCCCCGACGCCCGUCCGCCAGAGCAUGCCCCGCCUCGACCUCGGCGGUGACCAUCGGCGCUGCCGCAGAUGAGCACCACCGUCCCUCAUCCUCCCUUCCUUUCUUUGUCUCCCUCCUAACCUCUUUUCCCUCUGACCAGCAACGACAGGAGCUCCAUCCCCGAACGCCAUGGCCGUGCCCCUUCGAAGCUUGCAGCUCCUCCGCCAGCCCGCUGCCGCUUUGAUCCAGCAGGGAACGGGCACAUCGGCGACCUCCUGCGACCGGAUCCUGCUCCUCCGACGCACCUUGGAGCAGCCACUGUGGCGCCGUUCCCCUCCGACCCCGUGCAGAUUCGAAGCCCUAGCAUCGGGGCCCGCUAUCUCCGUCGCUCUCUGGCCUCCCUGCCUGCAAGCGCCGCCAUCCCCUCGUCGUCAGCUGCAGGAGUAGCGCGGCCCCUCCUUCUGUUCAAGCAAGGGAGACGAGCGCGUGCCUGCAUCCUCUGCAUCGCGCGGUGCUGCGCCUCUGCGUGCCCGUUGACUCCGCCCGAGCCGCUGUCUCGCUUGCCGCGGCCCAGGAUCCAGUAACCGGCCCAGCCUCCCGAAGCCUAGCCGCUUCUUUGCUUCCAGCCCAGUGGCCCGAUCUUCGGUUUCGUUCCGGAGUUGUGAGGAUUCGUUCGACUACAUCCGUUUGUCUUCUUCA